UACGUAGGGUGCGAGCGUUGUCCGGAAUUAUUGGGCGUAAAGAGCUUGUAGGCGGUUUGUCGCGUCUGCCGUGAAAAUCCGGGGCUCAACCCCGGACUUGCGGUGGGUACGGGCAGACUAGAGUGUGGUAGGGGAGACUGGAAUUCCUGGUGUAGCGGUGAAAUGCGCAGAUAUCAGGAGGAACACCGGUGGCGAAGGCGGGUCGCUGGGCCGAUACUGACGCUGAGGAGCGAAAGCGUGGGGAGCGAACAGG
rnacentral:rRNA from 1 species